UGGAAGGAUUGCCCUGUGCGGGGAGAGAGGAAACUCUAGUCAGGCCUGUCUAGACAACAGGCUUGGGGGCAGAUGUCCUCAACCUGGUGGUCAUCAUAACAGCAUUGGAUCCACAUUUCCCAUGAACCAUGGAAGCUCACAGCUCAUGCAGCCCUCUCCAGGAUAAGGAGAUCUUAAUGAGCCUUGGAUAUGGCUGUUCUCAGGAGUCUCCUGGAGUGAAAGAUUGAGCAGCCCAGCCAGAUGGAAGGGAAGAUGGAGAAUAAAGCUUGAGAGAAAAUAGGGGUCGAAGGAGAAGGGGAUCAGAUGGGGAGAACUGAAGAGCAU